AUUGAACGCUGGCGGCAGGCCUAACACAUGCAAGUCGAGCGGAUGAAGGGAGCUUGCUCCUGGAUUCAGCGGCGGACGGGUGAGUAAUGCCUAGGAAUCUGCCUGGUAGUGGGGGAUAACGUCCGGAAACGGGCGCUAAUACCGCAUACGUCCUGAGGGAGAAAGUGGGGGAUCUUCGGACCUCGCGCUUGCAGAUGAGCCUAGGUCGGAUUAGCUAGUUGGUGGGGUAAAGGCCUACCAAGGCGACGAUCGGUAACUGGCCUGAGAGGGGGAUCGGUCACAUUGGGACUGAGAUACGCCCCAGACUCCUAAGGGAGGCAGCAGUGGGGAAUAUGGCACAAUGGGAGGAAGCAUGAUGCAGCAACGCCGCGUGCGGGAUGACGGCCUUCGGGUUGUAAACCGCUUUCGCCGGUGACGAAGCGUGAGUGACGGGAAUGGGUAAAGAAGCACCGGCUAACUACGUG
rnacentral:rRNA from 1 species